GGGGCCGCCGGCUCCGGCACGGAGGGCGGUGGCGCAGGCGUCCAGAGGGCGGCCAACGCGGGCUCUGUUGAGCUGGCCAAGGACGGUGCCGGUGAGAGCACUGCUUCCAGCGACACGUGCCGCUGACUCAUCUCCCACCACGCGAUGUCCGCCAGUUCAGCGUGGAUCCAUUCACCAAGAAGAAGUGUUUUUAUGCUUCAGAUCGCUUCCUCCAUGACACCCCGAUCCGGGCGGCGCCAGCAGCGAUGGCGAUCGACAAUCGAGUGUGCCUAACUCUGCAUCUAUAACUGGCCUGUCU